CGGUCCCGGGGCCGCCCCUCCCCAAGGGUCCGGGCCGCGCUCCCCCGGCGCCGGGAGCCGCCCCAGCGCGGGGCCGCGGCCUCGGUGGGGGCAAUGGCGGCGGCGGUACCUGCGCCGCUCCGCGGCCCGCAGCGGGCGUCAGGCGCGGCUGUGGCGGUGGCGGCCUCCCGGGGCGGCCCGGGCGAGGCUCCGCCGGGCCCUCGCCGGCCUUUCGCGGGGGGUUAACGGGGAGGUCGGCGUUUGCGUCGUUCGGUUGGCGCCGCGCCCCCAAGGUCGGCGACCGGCGAAACCACCCCGUCGGCGAGCACGGCCCGGGCGGUUUUGUAACCGCUGCGGAAAGACCUGGCAGAGAGCCAAGGGACCCGCGGCGCUGCCCGAAUGCCGCCUGCGCCGAGAGCAAAGCCAGGCAGGGCUCGGCCCUCGCCCGGUGCCUCGUCGCGGGCCUCGGCGGGCGCCCGUCUGCCCUCGGCCCGGGCACGCGGCCUGCGCCGGACGCCCAAACCGCUGCAGCACGAGGCGGCGGCCUCUGGCGCCUUCCCUCCGCGGCCUCGACGCCUCCUCUGCCGUCGCACCUCACGCGCCUGCGUGGCAGGGCUCUGUCUCCUCUUACGCCUUUUUCUGCACUUGGACGCCGCCUUGGAGGCCUCUUCUGAAUCCUGUCUGGUUUUUCGGUGAUUUUUGCUCUAAGGACGGAGCAUUGGGCUUGUUGCUGGAGUCAGGCGCACACUGCUGCUCUGAGUUGUUGCUGGUUGUCAGAUCCUGCAACGCCGUUGCGGGGUUUGCAGCGCGGCUUGCCUUCCGCUGCUGGCUGCGUGGCCGUGAGCGUGUCUGGAGUAAUUCUCUUGCUCGAGAAGUUUAUUUUACCGAGUAAAUUAGCUCAGGCAUCAGAAAACACCUUCCCCACCUUAUUUACCCCUUGGGCAGUACUUUUCAAGUAGCAGUUCCCCUGUCACUCUUUUUUAAAAUGAUAAAAAUUCAUAUAGCACCAUGUCAAGAAUAGAUCCUCACGGGACAUUGCUAGAUACAUCCCAUACGGGUGAUUCCUGACUCUUUAAUUUUCAGAAUGCCUCAUUUAUCUAUUUUUAACUUUUGCUUGCCAAGACCUAUUUUCUAGCAAGGCAUGCUGGCUGGCCUCAAAUCUGGUAAUUCAUUCUUAUUAAUUAACUGUCCUUUAAUUCUUUCCUUACUGUGGCCCGUAUCAACGUGUAUGUAACUUUAUUUAUGACUCUUUUUAUUAGACUAAUUGACUUGGACUUAAUUGUCCCCCCACUUUCAUUUUUAAACGCGAGUAGGGCUUUAGAUUUUUUUCCUCGGUCCUGUGGAACUUCCAUAGGCUUUUAGGAUUUACUGGCCAUCAAUUUUAAUUGCUCAGUGACUUCCUUAGCUGAUAAAACUGCUGGGUACGCAUUAUCAAGUCCUGCAAUUUUAAAAAAGAUGUUAACUGUAAUGGCUUAUGCUUAAUAUCUUUCAUAAGUACUGAUAGUUUAGGAAGCAUUUCGUGUUAAGGUACAAGCCACCCUCCUCCCAUCAUAAUGAAAGACAGAAAUACUGAGUUUUCUCUCCUGUGACAUGACAGUUUUACCAUUUAUACCUGGGAAUGGACUUAGAGUGCUGUUCAUAUGGCAUUUGUUUCUGAUCUAGUUAAGUGAUGCCUUUCCCUUAUCCUCAGCCCUGUGGGCAAUUUUUUUUUUUUUUUUUUUUUUUUUUUUGACACUCUUAGCUUCAUUUCCUUCAAUGCUGAAUUGCUGUUUUUGCCUUUCUCCUUUUGGAGGUGAUACCCGGUUCCUUAAGACUAAAAAAGGGCAAAGGAAGUCACGCAGAGAAAAUACUUUGAGUAUCACGACUGUUAUCUAUAUUUUUAGCAUGUCUCUACAAAAAGCUAUUUCUGAGUUGGAUGUUGAAUCUAAUAAGAUAGCUGACAUUUCUUGCACAAUUUAUAAAGAACUGCCACAGUCCUCAACGUGUUAUGGCUCGCAGGAAAGCUACCGUAAUUUGAAGGAAUGUGCUAAUUAAGAAAUACAAUGCAAAUGUGAAUUUAGAGACACUCCAUCCCAGAUGGCCAAGGAGGAUAGGCAGCCCUAGAGUGGCAGGUUGGGAAGCUAAAUCCCCCUCCACAAUGUAGCAGAGACGCAAAAAAGACUAAGGCCAAUCUUUAUUCUUAUGCACGAUCUAAAAAUUGCAUUUCUUUUUUGUAUUUUCAGUCCUGUGUGGUAACCGACAAAUUUGGAAAGAAAGAGUCUUCGUGCUUUCUUUAGGAGAUUUAAAUUUGUCACUUUGGGCUCGUUUCGUGAUCGAAAAUAAACCACUUAACCUGGUAGUUGUGAAUGGCUCUAAAGAGGCUGGGAUUACAAAGCAACUCUCUGGGCUUAAUUAGGGCUGGGUUUUUUACUGCUUUCCAGUACAUCCACUUGGCCAGGGUGGGCUUACGAGUGGAGCAGCCUUCUGUCUCGGUUUUUUGGACGUGUAAUGCAGUAGUAAGCGAUGCCCAGUCGUGUCUGAGAUUUUCACUUUUAAUUUUUCCUCCUGCUUAGCGUUGUUCGUGAUUGCUUUUUAGCUGGGGGAAACCGAUUCUUUUCAGGUGCUGGUUACGUCGGAGGGUGUGUAUGCGUGAGUAUGUGUGUAGGCAGGCUCCCUGGCAAGUAUGGUGAGACUUCUUUUAUUUAUACAUAACAGACAUAAUAAAGUCCUGAGCACUCAUGCCUAGGCAACUGUCGGUUUUCAAAUCCGUGAUUAAUUUGUUUCUGUCAGAACGAGGUGUUACAGAGAAUUACCUUGAGCUGGUUGCAAAACUUUUGUGUUAUAAAACUAUAAUUAAUGUUUUAGAAACUCCGGGGAAGGUUUAUUAUUGGCAGGGUGAGAAUGAAUCCCCAGACACAAACAUUCCUCUAAGAUAACAGCAUAGCCUUCGGCGUUAUCUACACAAAAAAAAUUGCUGUAACUUAAAUCAGUGUAAUUAAUUAGACAGAUGUCAUCUGUAUACAUUGAAAACCAUUUACACCUUUCACUCAGGCUUUUAAAACAAGAAGUUCUCCCUGACUGUGAGGGUGUGCCCUCUGCAUUUCCCCCAACUGAUUUUUUCCCCUUUUGCUUCUUGACAAAUAUGUGGAUAAACCGACCCAUCUGUUCGCUGAACCAGCCCUCUGUACGACCAUUGAGCUGCCACGAACAUGGAAAAAACCUGCCCUUAUUCCACAUCCAUGUCCAAAGUAGCUAAUAGCUGGGGAUUGUGGCGCUUGCGAUAAGGGCGAUCUCACCUUAAAUUCCUACAUCAAAUCAAACAGACCAAAGCUGCUGUCUCUUUGUGAGUAGAGGAAUAGGAAUAAGAUUCCUAAUUUGGCAAAUACUUAUUAGAGAAGAACUGUUUCUUGCUCUGCUGUACUUUUGAUUCCCAUUUAUUGCAGUCGGGAAUGUGAUGAAUUAGGCUGAUUUCUGAGGGGGAAGUUGUGACCAAUGGGUACCAGAAUGGCAAGAGACGGGUUUCCCCCAUCAGCUUUUGCUAGUGCAACAGCAAACUCGUUUUACUAUUUACUAGUUUUACUAUUUACUUGUUUUACUAGAAAACUGAGGAAAUAAAUUCCAGACAGACAGUUUUCUUCAUCCAUGAGAACUGCAGGCAUGCUAGAAACGUAACGGCUCUGGUGGAGUACGGCCGCGCUCUAAGGCCUGGGACACUUGUAUGGAAAGGGCAAUUAAUAUGGUAGGAUUUGAAGUCAGGCAAGAAAGAAGAGGAAAGCCCACAACUUUACCGCUAAGUCACGCUGACUCUCAGGGUAACGCAGCCAAAACUCGGUGCUCAACUGUGCUUUCUGGGAACUGGGCCAGCUCCGUGUCACCCUUUCACAACACCAGAACGGCUGCAGAGUCCCAUGGAAUUGCAGAAUGCAGUUUGGCUUGUACAUUUACAUUACGAGCUGGUUUUCGACUACGUGAUGACCCGACGUGUCUCUCCUGGCCCCCGUCUCCAUGCUCCCUGAAGGUAUGUAUGCUUCGAGGGGCUCUGCUCUAUCUCACUUCCACUUACCUGUUAGUCUAAGGAAAGAUCAGUGUCUCAGAAAAAGUGGUAGAUUUUCACUCUUAUUUUGGAUUUAGAUAACAAUAAACGUCUUGCCUUCAUCUGCAUGUUUCACAUUAUUUCACAUGCGAGGGAAGAGCCCCUCCAUGUCUGCUCGUUUACCCCACGUUUAUUCUGCGGCAGGUAUGCAGAGGCACAUCGCUGCAGCUGCAGCAUCUCUCGCCUUCCUCCUCGCACCUCUGCUUAUGCUUCCUGGCACGCUGCCUGCCUCUGGCUUCUGCAUCGCCUUUGGCAUUGGCAUCGUCUGCCCUCAGCUGUGGGAUCAACAGAGCCGUUUCAGCACGGGGCAGCCCGUACCCGUGUUGCGGAGCACAUCAAUUCAAUGCCACUUCACAGGCCUUUUUGAGAAAAAGCUGGAGGAGCAAAUGGGUACUAAGCAGCAAUAUUUACACCCGUGGAGAGGUCACAGCCUUCAGCAACACCUCUCAUUGCUACAGCUCCUGAGAAGCAGUUUUGGAUGCAAAAUCUAUUUCCUAAAAGUUAAUCUU